UACAUAGCUUAAUGAGGGGAACUCAGGGAACUGAAACAUCUAAGUACCUGAAGGAAGAGAAAGAAAUUCGAUUCCGUAAGUAGCGGCGAGCGAACGCGGAUUAGCCCAAACCAAUAAAGUUUUCUUUAUUGGGGUUGCGGACAUAUCAUAACGAAGAGGUAUCGUAAUUGAAGAGGUUUGGAAAGACCCACCACAGAAGGUAAUAGUCCUGUAUGUUAAACGAGAAGACUUUAGAUAUGAUCCAGAGUACCACGGGACACGUGAAACCCUGUGGGAAGCAGGAGGGACCACCCUCCAAGGCUAAAUACUACCUAGUGACCGAUAGCGUAUAGUACCGUGAGGGAAAGGUGAAAAGAACCCCGGGAGGGGAGUGAAAUAGAACCUGAAACCCUGCACUUACAAGCUGUGGAAGCACAUUUCUUGUGUGACCGCGUACUUUUUGUAGAACGGGCCAACGAGUUACGUUAAGUAGCAAGGUUAAGCACUUAAGGUGCGGAGCCGUAGCGAAAGCGAGUUUUAACUGAGCGUUCAGUUACUUGACGUAGACCCGAAACCGGGCGACCUACCCAUGAGCAGGAUGAAGCGAAAGUAAAAUUUCGUGGAGGUCCGAACCCACGAGCGUUGAAAAGCUCGGGGAUGACUUGUGGGUAGCGGUGAAAUUCCAAUCGAGCCCGGAGAUAGCUGGUUCUCCCCGAAAUAGCUUUAGGGCUAGCCUCAAGGUGAGAGAUACGGAGGUAGAGCACUGAAUGUCCUAGGGGGUAUUGCACCUACCGAAGACUAUCAAACUCCGAAUGCCG
rnacentral:rRNA from 1 species